rnacentral:rRNA from 1 species
AGAGUUUGAUCCUGGCUCAGGAUGAACGCUAGCGGGAGGCUUAAUACAUGCAAGUCGAGGGGCAGCAUGGGACUUCGGUCCUGAUGGCGACCGGCGCACGGGUGAGUAACGCGUACAGAACCUGCCUACGAGCGGGGAAUAGCCCCGGGAAACUGGGAUUAAUGCCUCAUAGCACCAUAAUGCCGCCUGGCAUAAUGGUUAAAGCUGAGGCGCUCGUAGAUGGCUGUGCGUGCCAUUAGCUAGUUGGCGGGGUAACGGCCCACCAAGGCGACGAUGGCUAGGGGGCGUGAGAGCGUGGCCCCCCACACGGGUACUGAGACACGGACCCGACUCCUACGGGAGGCAGCAGUAAGGAAUAUUGGACAAUGGGGGCAACCCUGAUCCAGCCAUCCCGCGUGCAGGAUGACGGCCCUACGGGUUGUAAACUGCUUUUGCGAGGGAAGAAAUAAUGCUAUUGAUAGUGUUUUGACGGUACCUCGAGAAUAAGCACCGGCUAACUCCGUGCCAGCAGCCGCGGUAAUACGGAGGGUGCAAGCGUUAUCCGGAAUCACUGGGUUUAAAGGGUGCGUAGGCGGCAUUAUAAGUCAGAGGUGAAAGGCCGUCGCUUAACGAUGGAAUUGCCUUUGAUACUGUAGUGCUUGAAUUGGGUUGAGGCUGGCGGAAUGUGGCAUGUAGCGGUGAAAUGCAU